AGUCGCACGAGUUCAUACUCGUGGCAGAUAGCUCAGUAACACGUGGCCAACCUACCCUACAGAGACGAACAACCUCGGGAAACUGAGGCUAACUCGUCAUAGAGCUCCCACGCUGGAAUGCCGGGAGUCACAAACACUACGGUGCUGUAGGAUGAGGCUGCGGCCGAUUAGGUAGACGGUGGGGUAACGGCCCACCGUGCCCAUAAUCGGUACGGGUUGUGAGAGCAAGAGCCCGGAGACGGAAUCUGAGACAAGAUUCCGGGCCCUACGGGGCGCAGCAGGCGCGAAACCUUUACACUGCACGACAGUGCGAUAAGGGGACUCCGAGUGCGAGGGCAUAUCGUCCUCGCUUUUGUGUACCGUAGGGCGGUACACGAACAAGAGCUGGGCAAGACCGGUGCCAGCCGCCGCGGUAAUACCGGCAGCUCAAGUGAUGGCCAAUCUUAUUGGGCCUAAAGCGUCCGUAGCUGGCCCUGAAAGUCCGUCGGGAAAUCCACACGCUCAACGUGUGGGCGUCCGGCGGAAACUUCAGGGCUUGGGACCGGAAGGCUCGAGAGG
rnacentral:rRNA from 1 species